rnacentral:rRNA from 1 species
GUGUCAGCAGCCGCGGUAAUACAGAGGGUGCAAGCGUUAAUCGGAAUUACUGGGCGUAAAGCGAGCGUAGGUGGCUUGAUAAGUCAGAUGUGAAAUCCCCGGGCUUAACCUGGGAACUGCAUCUGAUACUGUCAGGCUAGAGUAGGUGAGAGGAAGGUAGAAUUCCAGGUGUAGCGGUGAAAUGCGUAGAGAUCUGGAGGAAUACCGAUGGCGAAGGCAGCCUUCUGGCAUCAUACUGACACUGAGGCUUGAAAGCGUGGGUAGCAAACAGGAUUAGAUACCCGCGUAGUCC